AAGAACAUAGUAUAAUUGGUAGUACAGUGAUCUCCAAAAUCACUAGUGUUGGAUCGUACCCAGCUGUUCUUG
rfam:Malassezia pachydermatis strain CBS 1879 scaffold15, whole genome shotgun sequence.